CAGUAGCCGCGGUAAUACGGAGGGCGCGAGCGUUACCCGGAUUUACUGGGCGUAAGGGGCGUGUAGGCGGCCUGGGGCGUCCCAUGUGAAAGGCCACGGCUCAACCGUGGAGGAGCGUGGGAUACGCUCAGGCUAGAGGGUGGGAGAGGGUGGUGGAAUUCCCGGAGUAGCGGUUAAAUGCGCAGAUACCGGGAGGAACGCUGAUGGCGAAGGCAGCCACCUGGUCCACUUCUGACGCUGAGGCGCGAAAGCGUGGGGAGCAAACCGGAUUAGAUACCCGGGUAGUCCCUGUCUCUUAUAC
rnacentral:rRNA from 1 species